AAUCUGACAUAUUUAUGGGUCGUUUCAAUCGGGUGACAUGUGUUGAAUGUCGAGAGUUUGAUUUUUUUUCCCCGUUCGUCCCUCUUUUGGUCUGGCGCAUCCUAUGCUGGAGCCAUACGGCAACGCAGUCUUCAGAAGAAAUAAAAUGCUUCCUUACGGGCUGUGAUCUCGCAGUUCUGCUUCCGUUGUUUUGGCCGGGCAUCUGGCUCUACUGGACACGCUUGGCAGAAUCUGUCGUCGUCGGAGUGGAAGUCGGGUUUUCGGGGAAAUCGUUUGCCAGGGUGGAAAAAUCCCCUGGGGUAGGUUUUUUUCGGCCUUCCACCUUUCCCCACCAUCAUCGCAUCUAUGAAACCGCGACCAGCACAAGGAUUAUUUUAUGGACACAUUCGAUAGGUGAUAGCAGCCAGUCAGCAGCGUCCAUUUCACCAAAACCAAUAGCAGCCACAAUAUGAGAUAUUUACAACUUAUAGUAUUUAUAGUAGUGUACCAAAUUAGUACAACUUAUUCAAAACGGG